rnacentral:rRNA from 1 species
UACGUAGGUGACCAGCGUUGUCCGGAUUUACUGGGCGUAAAGAGCGCGCAGGCGGUCGUUCAAGUCGAGUGUGAAAGCCCCCGGCUCAACUGGGGAGGGUCACUCGAUACUGGUCGACUUGAAGGCGGGAGAGGGAAGCGGAAUUCCCGGUGUAGUGGUGAAAUGCGUAGAUAUCGGGAGGAACACCAGUGGCGAAGGCGGCUUCCUGGCCUGUUCUUGACGCUGAGGCGCGAAAGCUAGGGGAGCAAACGGG